AGUGAACGCUGGCGGUAGGCCUAACACAUGCAAGUCGAACGGCAGCACAGUAAGAGCUUGCUCUUACGGGUGGCGAGUGGCGGACGGGUGAGGAAUACAUCGGAAUCUACUUUUUCGUGGGGGAUAACGUAGGGAAACUUACGCUAAUACCGCAUACGACCUACGGGUGAAAGCAGGGGAUCUUCGGACCUUGCGCGAUUGAAUGAGCCGAUGUCGGAUUAGCUAGUUGGCGGGGUAAAGGCCCACCAAGGCGACGAUCCGUAGCUGGUCUGGGAGGAUGAUCAGCCACACUGGAACUGAGACACGGUCCAGACUCCUACGGGAGGCGGCAGUGGGGAAUAUUGGACAAUGGGCGCAAGCCUGAUCCAGCCAUACCGCGUGGGUGAAGAAGGCCUUCGGGUUGUAAAGCCCUUUUGUUGGGAAAGAAAAGCAGCAGGUUAAUACCCCGCUGUUCUGACGGUACCCAAAGAAUAAGCACCGGCUAACUUCGUG
rnacentral:rRNA from 1 species